rnacentral:rRNA from 1 species
CCUACGGGAGGCAGCAGUGGGGGAUAUUGCACAAUGGGGGAAACCCUGAUGCAGCGACGCCGCGUGUAGGAAGACGGUCCUCUGGAUUGUAAACUACUGUCCCCAGGGACGAAGAUGACGGUACCUGGGGAGGAAGCUCCGGCUAACUACGUGCCAGCAGCCGCGGUAAUACGUAGGGAGCGAGCGUUGUCCGGAAUUACUGGGUGAAAAGGGAGCGUAGGCGGGGAUGAAAGUGGGGUGUUAAAUCUACCGGCUAAACUGGUAGUCGCACUCAAAACUGCAGGUCUUGAGUGAAGUAGAGGCAGGCGGAAUUCCUAGUGUAGCGGUGAAAUGCGUAGAUAUUAGGAGGAACACCAGUGGCGAAGGCGGCCUGCUGGGCUUUUACUGACGCUGAGGCUCGAAAGUGUGGGGAGCAAACAGGAUUAGAUACCCGAGUAGUC